rfam:Trichosporon oleaginosus strain IBC0246 unplaced genomic scaffold CC85scaffold_24, whole genome shotgun sequence.
GGCCACUUAGCUCAGCUGGUUAGAGCGCAUGCUUAACACGAGCAACCGGUCCUCGAGGUCUACAAGGGGAUACAAUCGAGUUACGCAUGAGGUCGGCGGUUCGAUCCCGCCAGAGGUCA